UGUGUUGGCCCACCUUGCUGUGUUGCUUUGGCACCUUCAGUAACACCAGGCUUUGAACCCCUAGAUUGCAGCAGCAACUUGUGGGGCGUCCCUUCUAUAUGAGAUUACCUUAAUCCCUCACCCUUUUCCUUGCCUUCUGUCUCCUUUCUGUCCUUCAGCAACCUCCAUGGAGCUAUCAGCAUGGGCACAGGGCAGGCAUGCUUAUAGGAAUACCUCCACUGAGUGCUUGUUCAAGUAUAUAGAUUACUGUGCUUUUUUCAGUGAUGCUUUUCUGGUUAUACCUUCACUUUGUUACAUUCAUAUGUGCUUCUCUUCAAAGCCUUGACUCUUCUGGUUACAGCAAGGUUUUUUCAUCAGACUGAAAUGAGCAGGUUUGUCAGAGUACUCUUGAUUAUGGGGCUUGCAAGACUGUUUUCCCUCUUAAGACAGUCUACUUGAUUUCUUUCCUAAGACAGUAUGAAUACUGACAAAGAUUCUUCUGCUUAAUGUUUCCUUUGAUACCCUAAUUUUCAUUCUUUGACCUUCAUAUCUUUUCCUAUUCCUCCUUGCCCUCUAUAUUUUUUAUUCCAUUGGGAAAUGGUGCUGUUGUUUAUACAAAGCUUAAAGCAUUCUUAAAUAAAAAUGUUAGAAAGGCAGAUUAAUUUAUUUGACUUACAUUUUGGGGGGUAGUUUGAAGGCAUUCCUCUCUAAAAUAUCCAGAUAAAACUUAGCUUAAUUUAGUGAAAAUAAAUCUCACUAAACUGAAGACAUAGUAUUCUGUCUCUCCAGCAGACAGAGAUUUGAGAAGACUCAAGUAGAGAAAGCUCUCCUCAUUUCCAGAGGAAAAUUAAUUCCAAAGAGGACUUAAGUGCUAAUGAUUACCAAUAUAUUUCAUGGAGAGCUGUGCUUUGCAAGGAUAUCUUAUUUAAGGUGAGCUAGAUUGCGUUUGGCUGGAUUCGGAUGAUGAGAAUCACUCUGGAUUCAGAAAUGCUUAAAUUAUUGUAGAAUGUGUUCCUGAUUUGGAAGCCCUGAAAUGUAGAGAAAUUUGCUUAAUUCCUUCAGAUUUACUGGUUUUGUCAAGUGACAAUAUCUUGAACUCACCCACAGAGCAUGGUAGUCAGUUAAAAAAGAUUGUGAAAUUUUAUUUUGCAGUUCUGUUCAGCAGUGCUUCCAGCUCACUGUCAAGGACUGGCUGCUUCACCCUUGCCUACUUCUUGCAGUUUUAUCUCUGGACAGAUAGUUGAAAUAAGCAAAACAUAAUAAUCUCAUUUGGAUCAAACUAUGAAGCUUUCAAAAAUAAAGGAAAAUACAGUCUCCUUUCCCCUUUCCCCACCAUCACUAUAACAAUGAAUAAACAUAUAAGUAAUCUGCUGGCCAGAACAGAAUAUGGGGCAACACACUGGCAUUGGUUGUUGCUUCUCAGAGUUGGAGGAGGCAAUUCGUUCUGACUGAACAUCCAAUGACUUUCAAAGAUAGAUCAAGUCCAUACAUUUGAACCAAGUUUUAACUUCAAGUGAUGAAUGCUCAGCUACCUGAUAAAUCCCACUUCUGAAGCUUUCCUGGAGCAGUGGAGCAGGCAGGCUAGAAGAUGGACAUUUGACAGGCCACAAUAGACUGCUCCUUUCCCAGAUUAUGCCAGUGUUUACAAAGGUUGGGAUCCAUUGCAUCCUCAUCAGUUUUUACAUUUGCCCAAGAAUCAGAUUCAGUUUAGCCUAGCAUUCUUCACAAAGAUAAAAGGGUGACAGAUCCUAACACAUUUGUGCUUUUGAAAAGUAGAAAAGCUGAUUUCAUGCAUAAACCCUAUCCUAAAGCUGUCUCCAGGGUGAAAUUAUACCAGUAUUGGUAUAGGAAGGGGUUUAAACUGCAUGCGGUGACGUGCUUGGGCACACUUUCUUAUACUAUAAUCAGAAAAUGAUGCAAUAGCCUUAUUGUCCAGUUUUUAACUACUGAAACUUUGGUUUAAAUCUGAUUUCUUCAUGAUCAAAAGAUGCCUAAGACACCUCAUUUGUGUCUUAAGUGAUAGCCAAUCUUCUUUGCAUGUAUGAGCUUCUAUCAGUAUUUUUUAAAACUGUAAUACGGGGCAAGAAGAUGUAUUAUUGAAUGCUUAUUUUACAGCUGCAUUACGUGGACAAACAUAUACAAGAGUCAUGCAUUAAUCAAACGUGACAAAUAAGUAUGUUCUAACAUAAAUACAUGAGUGAAUUUAUUGAAGUAUUGAUAAUUCUUUGUGAUUUUACUCAGUGACAAUGAAUAAAAGUGUGAUUUAGUAAGACUAGAAAGAAAUGUGAAAUUAUUAAAGGCAUACAAAGAGCCAGAAGGGGCAAUACUGCCAAAUUAGUCUUUUUCUAAGGUCUGAUACUUUAGCCUGUAGUUAAAAUGAGCUUUGCCACUGAAAGACCAUUGUGACCAUAAUGCUUGUUCCCUAAACAGGAGUGGUGUAGCAACAACUAUUCAGUCGCAGGUUCUUAGGUUGUUUGUAUAGUAUAAAGCCAGUAGAAACCAUUGCAAUUCUCUAGCUGGACCUCCCACAUAACAUAGAUCUAAGAAUUUCAUGGAAUGAAUUCCUUCUAGAAUUAGAGUGCAUGUUUGAGAAAACCAUUGCAAUUCUUGAUUAUAACAUUUUCAGAGACAAAAAAAAUACAAAAAUUCUGAGUAUGAUGUUUCAGUAAUUAUCAUAACAAUGAAAGAAAUGGGACCUUUAGUCUAAAUUUCUGUAGCCUUUAAUUUCAGCCACUGAGUCUUGUUGUACAUUGCCAAAGGUAUAACAAGAUUUGCCCAAACUGAAGACAUUGAUCAAUCUUCAUGUUUCUUUAUUAAAAACCUUAUACAACUUGGACAAAUUACUCUUUAGUUUUCUCUCUGGGCUUCUCUACAGGCAGAACUUAGUGUGCAGAAAGCGUAUGAAUUCACAAGGCUUCAGCUACUCAGCUCUGGUUUGCCAGGCACACCCAUCUGAUGAAUGCUAAGUAGCUAAGACACAAAAUACCUUACCUUAAAGAAAAUUUUAAUGUAAUUUACAGAAGUUUGUUUCUAUUUCAGUUUGAAAUGAAACAAACUGUGUCUAAAAAAGUUUGAACGAGCAGCAAGGAAAAAAAAGUGGUGUACAUUCUCUCCCUUUAGGCAAUACUUUUGUGCAUGCAGAUCACAUGAGGCACUGUUAUCAUUGUCAUAUAAGCAUCGGGCCAGGCUAAACCUUAUAUUCUCAGAAGUAUUUUGUAUGCUUAUACUUCCAUUUGGUCUUGUCAGGGAGUAGAACGAUAUCAUUUCAGUUACGGUCUGAGCAGCACAUAGGCAUAGCUGUAGUUAGAAUUGUGAUUACGUUAGAUUAGAUUAGGAUAUCUAACUCAUUUAAAUAUCAUGUAUUGGCUUUAAAUUAAUUAGGGGGGAUAAAAAAUUGUCAGGGAAGGAAAAGAGUUAAUGUCAAAAUCUUUUCCAACAAGAAGACCAUUAUUAAUAGCAAGACAUCGGUGGAACCCUUACCUUCAUGGAAAUCAUGAUUAGAGGUUGUAAAGAAGUUAAAGAGAUACAGGUACAGAAGAAUGUUGCUAUUAUUUUAUCUCGUGGGAUAUGUUGCACAGUAUUAGGAGCCUGGAUAUGGAUUUGGAUGGUAGAACCACUGACAGGCAUGUGACUGCAUGGAAUUGCAAGAUGGUAAGUGCAGCUCAUAGUCCCACAUUGAAACCCAGUAUUCUGCUGCUAAAGGGCAAACAGAGAUGAUAAGGACCUCCUAUGAAGUAGUAGGCCUCUGGAAAGAUCCAGAAGUCAGUAUUUUAAAUACUGAUUUGGACAGCUGGUGUUACCAGCAUGAUCAUAGUAUUCCAGAAACCUACCCAAAGCAACACUGAUAUGGACCAGAUGUAGGUGAUGUGUCAUUGAGUCCCUACUGAGAUAGAUGUGCAGUUCCUGAGGAAGUCAUUCUUCAGGUAGAAAAUACAUGGCCAUGAUUUUGAAGCAUGUAGCUACAAAUAUCAAUUAUGGCAGCAGCUUGAUGUAACUGCUUGAUCCAAAUCCAAGGCAUCCUUCUUAGAAAAGACCUGAAAUUGAGAGCCAAAAAAGCUGUUAGCACUACGGGUUGAGAUUGAGUACAGUGUUGCAGGGAGAAAUCUCAUCUGAAUUUCUGCCACAUCCUCUAACAUCAUAUUAGCAACAUCAGAGAUUCCUGUUUAAGGGCCUCCCAUUGAGAGAACUCCUGUCAGCUUCCUUGUUCCUAUGACAAAACCAGGCCAUGUAAAACCAUGUGUUGUUUGCUUGAAUCCCAUUACCAAACAAUGCACAUGAUUUAGCAUCUGUUUUUUCCUCAGGCACUUCUGCCUGAGACACCUUUAGGAUGGCCAGCUGCAGGACUAUCCCCACAACUCUAGGACAGUUCUGAGCAGGAAUGUCCUCGCCCCCAUAGAAGUGGGGUCAAUGUGCAUACCGGUGUGCAAGUAGUGGGGGUCAGAGACAUAAAUGUGCAUACACAUAUGGCAGAGCAGGAUCAAGAAACCCAAGCUCAUGCUCUCAUUAGGAUCCUCUUAUCACAUUAGCCAAAGUCUGACUUGGUUGUGCUUUGUCUGUACCUGUGCCUGUGACUUUUAUAUCCCAUGCUGUUUUAACAAGAGAUGGAAGAGAUCCAGUCAGAAAAGCCUUGUGAUGAGAUCUGGUCGUAUUGGGCCUUUGUAGUUAUGCUGCUUGUUUGGGAGUCAGGAUCUUUGAGUGAGGAAGCCUAAACCAAAAUUUUUGUAAUUACUUGCGGAAUUAAUAUCACCUUCAGAUAUUAAUAUGAAUACAUCAUCUUACUCUUCCUACUUGGCUGUAGGCUACAUUUGUUUCAUAAUUAGUCUGCCCUUCUUUCCUUGUUUUGGGAGAUAUCUAUUAAAAUUGUCAUAAGCAGUUCACAAUUUCUAGUCUCAUUUUUUCGUUCAUGUUCUUCUCACAUUUGAUUUGAUUGAUUUGUUGUCACAUUUGAUUGAUUUGUUUUAUUCUGUUCAGCCAUCAAAUUUCUUUACCAUCCCUUGCUCCCAGGCAGCCACUAAUGCUUAGUUCUGCAAAUAAUUCCCCUUUACCUCCUCACCAUAAGGUCCGAUGGAAGACUACAUGGCAGAAGCAACAAUCUGAAUAAAGAUAUCAUCAUCUAGGAUUUCUAGGCAAUUCACUAAUGUUUUGACAUUAGAAACAUGAGAAACACAAGAAGCACCAGAGCUCUUGUAGACGACUCCUUUGAGGGAAAGCAGAGGUUGGCCAGUUCCAGCUCUAUGCCAGGCUAUCACUUCUCCUCCUUCAGUCUUUAAAUAAGUAAUAACUGUUGGUUUUAACAUCCCAGACAUGUGAGUUUCCUCUCAGGUCUCAGAAAUACCAAUGAGAUUGAUUUUAGACUCAUAUUAGAGUCCUUUUUUUUUUUUUUCAACUGGGCUUCUAGCAGUGGUGCCUUGGCAUUUUCAUAAUUCCUUUUCUUUGUGCUCUUUGAUGUCUGUUCUCAACAUCUCUAAUUUUUGUACUAUGUAAGCGCUCAUUUGUUUCCUCUUUUACUCUGUCCUAUAAGUGCAACACCUCCUCUGACUCCUGUUGAUCCUUCUGUUAUAAGCCUGCUUCCUCCUCCACCCAGAAGCCACACAAACUGUGUAGCCUCCAUUCACCCCUGAGAUAAACUGGUACUCCAUCAACCUUGCAUCAUUUAUGUAAUAAUGCAUCAUUUAGGCAAUAAAUCACUUUUUGUUCUGUAUUUUGUAUUGUCUUAGAGUAGGCUUGCAGUAUUCUGUGAUAAAGCAUAAUACUGCAUCAAGCUGAUUACCAUCUUGUGAGCACCACGUUGUACUGGUAGCCACAGAAUGCAUUUCCAUUAACAUCAUCAUUUUGGGAUAUAUUUAAAAUGUGGAUAUAAAUAAGCAGGGCUUAGAAAAGUGAUUUAUCCUGCACAUUGCUUUUAGCUUCACUUUUCUCUAUUUAAGCAUCCUCUGACAGUCUUCCCUGCCUUCAGCUGGAAAUAGUAAUGCUGUUGUAGCAGUGGUGAUCUAAGAAUAGGCAGAGACACAGGGCAUGGAGAAAGAGGUACAUCAGAUGAGCUGGUGUGGUUGCAAACGAGAGGCAAGAUUUAAGGAGCAGCCUCCUCACCAAACUGUUACUGCAGAGCUGUGAUCAUGGAGUGCCAGAAAGCUUGUCCCCCUUUCCCACCUCCACUAACUUGUCUUAUAGAAGAUAUUCUCUCUCUGUACAAACUGUGUGUAUCCUAAAUCACAAGGAGAUUAUGUUGUUUAUUUCAAUUAAUUGUUGAGUUUUGUCUUGAUGUCUUUAUUCAGAACCUUGAGUGAGCAAUUUUGGAUGUACAAGUUGUCUUCUUCAAGAUGAGAGGUCUACCUUGUAUUCUUCUUGUGCUUUGAAAGCACUGUCUUUAGUGAACAAUCUGGGGAAUGUUUGAAUUCCCAGAUUAGGGCUAUAUCAAAAGUAACUGUUAAAAAUCUUCCUACAUAUUGUCAUUCUUUUAAUCCUGUUAGUCUCCCCCAUGUUUAUUCUGGUUAGGAUUUCUCUUAUCAGACACUCAAAAAAAGUAAGAGGUUGAAGGGUAAUGUGAUGUUAACACAUUUAUGAUAGAUUAACUAUAGCAUUGGUGUCUCAAACAGAUGUCUGCAUAGGUCUUGGAAGAAAUGAAAAGCAAAAUGCUGCUGUGCGAGCUAAUCCACUGUUUUGUCAUAAUAUUUCCAGAAUUGCAGUCAGCUAUAAAUUAGUUUGAAGGAUUUUUUCUGUAAUAACAAUUUUCAGCAUGAAGCUUGAUGUUCAAGUUGAAAUCUCAAACUGCUACUGAUAUCAGAGAAGAAACAAAACGAUUGGAGGAAGAAAUAGCAGUGAAUUUUUUAGCUAAAUCUGUUCUGGUUCAUAUGAUGUAUUAUGUAAUUAUGUAUUUGGGUCUUGUGGUAAUGAUACGUUAUUUUGUAUGUAAAUUGAUGCAAUAAUGAACUUUACUGAAGAGAUUUUAUAGUACUCUAAAUUUGCUUGAUAUCUAUAUAUCUCUAUCUAAAAUUGAUAAUUCCACAAAAUAAAAAUAUGUUUCUAUUCAAUGUGCUGCACAAUUAAUCUUAGAUUCUUUAAUUAGAGUUUAUCUUCGUUAAGAAUGUCAAGAAAGGAUGUCUCCUUCUUUCAUGUUAAAUUUGGGACUUCUGUAAAAUGGUAUUGAUUUUCACACAUGGAUGUUCUCACCUGUUUUCUGUAAGGAACGUAUUUCAAAGGUUUCUUGCUCCAGUGUCCAAGCAUAGGGACACACAAAAUUUUCAGGAUUUUUUGGAAAAUAUUGAUGGUAUAACAUUUUCAUAUUUUAAAGCACACUAAAUUUUCUGAUCUACAGAGUGUGGGAUAAUGAAAUUAGGUAGGUCAGAAACUCGUAUGUGAAACUUCAGUAUUUUGGAAGUGUUCAGAGGAGAGAGGUUAAAAAACUGUGUCCUUUAAUUAUCAGAUUAGCUUCCUGGUGAAUAUGUUGCAGAAAUUGCUUCUUUUUUUCAUAUAAAUGAUUUUUAUAUUUUCUUUAAUCAGGAUUAAGUGAUCUUAUAUUAGAAGGGGUUGAAUAUGGCAUUUGCUGUAAAUCAUUUAGGCAGCUGAGCAAUACCACUUACAUUAACAAUAAUGUUUCAGCAUCUGCUUAGAGUUAUAUACAUUCUUAAGUACUCUACUGCAACUUAAAUGAUAUGGUUUUGGAUAGCCUGAUCUUGUUAUUACUAUUGUCACUAAAUAUAUAUAAAGUGAAAGUAAAAACCCUAUCAUUAAUACCCAUGUUGCUGUGCUCCCAUUUGUUUCAGAAUAAUAAAGUUUUCCUCUUAGAGAAAUUAUUUACUUUAUUCCCUUACCAAUAUCACAGUACACCAUAUUAGUCCUUGAUUUAAAAUUUUCCUGAAUACUCUCUAAAAAUGAAAACCAAAUGCAUGCUAUCUAUUUGUUCUUCUAAUUACAUAUAGCCUGAAUGAAAUUCAGAAGGUAGUGAAGCAUGAUCAUUCCUUCCUGAGGCAAUAUUGGCUGUCCUUCAUCAAGCUGUGCUUUUCUUAACAGUACCCCACUUAAUGUCCAAAAACAAUUUUUAAGAUUCUCUCCUCCCCAAAGGUACCCAAACUAAAUGGUCUACAAUUUCCUGAAGUGUUUGCAGUGUCCGUCUUCAAUAAUGGCAUUAUGUUGGCCAUUUUCCAGCCAUCGGGUCUUUUUUGAAUAGAAUGACUUUGUAAAAUGUUUGCAUAACUUGCAGUAACAACAUCCCUACUUUUUUAAAGAAAUAUCGAAUAUUGUUAACUAGUGGGAUGCUGUUAUUAAAUGCCAAUAUAUUAUUAUACCAUUGGAUAGGUUAGUUAUUAGUUUCCCUUUCCCAAAACCAAAUCCACUGUCUAUGGCUCAUCUACAAAAUACUCGGGGUAUUUACUAUAAAUCAUAUUUGCAUUCUGUUGCUGGUUGCUUAUAGUAAACAUCCUUAAAAUAACACGUUGUUUUACUAAUAGGAAACAAGCUAAAUCACUUUGUUUAAUACAUUGUCUUUAAACUGAAAGACAAUGUUCAUGCAACAGAUUUUAAAAGUAGCAGAAAGUUAAAGAGAUAGUCUUGGUAUUUAAUAUGUAAUUAAUUUCCUUUAAAGUGCUUCAAGACUAAGAUAAAAACUAACAAAAAAAUAGAUACAGGACAUGUACAACAAUAUGCAUAAAAAGAUGGGUAUUAGAAAAACUUCUAGUGCACUUGUAGGUGUCAAGGCCUGCAUGGUCUAUCUACUUAUGGCAAAAGCCAUAGCUUACUAACACAGACUCUCAAGUGUCAUA